GGAGCUGCUACUCAGAGGAGGCAUCAGGAUGGACCAGAUAUGUCACGCUGGCCGCCUUAUUAGCAUUGGAGGCCUUAAAGCCUUCCUUUCAAGUUCUUCUUGUUGUUGUGCAUGUUAUAAAAGAAGAAGGUGGUGAAAUGUUUAAAAGGAGAAGUAUUUAGAAGAGAAUUGAGAGAUGUUUUUAGCAGGUAGAAGUAUUUUAGAUGAGAAUUGAGAGACGUUUUUGGCAGGUAGUACCAUUGUCAAUGUUCCUGAUAAGUGCCGUCUGGUAAACUUUUGCCCCAAACUAAUCUUUUAGCAUAUGUUAUUGUUGAAAAAGAAGAAAAAUGUAACAAUGGAAUGUGGUUUAUGUAAAAUGACAUUUUUAGAACAUUUACAAUAUUUACAUAGAAACUACAACCUCAUUUCAGUGAAGUAUGAAAAAUCUAUCAUUUUUUUAUAAAAUAGGCUGUUU